rnacentral:tmRNA from 1 species
GGGGAUGCAAUUGCAUCGACAAGAUUUAGCACUUUAAAAAAUGCAAGCCGUCUUUGAUUUACAGACGUAAAACAAAAAUCAAAAAAUAAAUGCUAAAAAAGCAUUGUUAGCUGAAAAGCUUGCGAUUCUUCGCAAGCUUGCCAGUUCUCAAAGACAGCCAGUUUUGGCUUAUGCCUAAGCCCUGUUUAGAGUGUCCUUAAUAUUCUCUCUUAGGUGGAAUCUUUUGGGCAUAAACCUUAGCCUAGGAAAUAAUAAGGAAGAUGGUUAGUUCCUUAUCGAAUUUAUAACCUUGGCUUUACUUAUGGAUGUUUAUUUUCAAAGAGUAAGGUGAUCAAAAAACAAUAAACUAAGCUUGUAGAAAUUUUUAAAAUGUUUUCUUGGACUCGGGAUCACUUCCCGACAUCUCCACAA